GACGAACGCUGGCGGCGUGCUUAACACAUGCAAGUCGAACGGAAAGGCCCUGCUUGCAGGGUACUCGAGUGGCGAACGGGUGAGUAACACGUGGGUGAUCUGCCCUGCACUUCGGGAUAAGCUUGGGAAACUGGGUCUAAUACCGGAUAGGAACCAUCUUUAGUGUGGUGGUUGGAAAGUUUUUUUCGGUGUAGGAUGAGCUCGCGGCCUAUCAGCUUGUUGGUGGGGUAAUGGCCUACCAAGGCGGCGACGGGUAGCCGGCCUGAGAGGGUGUACGGCCACAUUGGGACUGAGAUACGGCCCAGACUCCUACGGGAGGCAGCAGUGGGGAAUAUUGCACAAUGGGCGCAAGCCUGAUGCAGCGACGCCGCGUGGGGGAUGAAGGCCUUCGGGUUGUAAACUCCUUUCGCUAGGGACGAAGCUUUGUUGUGACGGUACCUAGAUAAGAAGCACCGGCUAACUACGUG
rnacentral:rRNA from 1 species